AUCGGGAAAGACCUCAUCGGAGGUGGUUUUUGCAUUUUUCCGUAGCGAUGCCACCAAACUUUGCCUACGAUUUUUGGCCAAUUCGCCAAUUCUUUUGCUCCGGUUUGUCAUGGGAGUGUCUAAAAUCGAAUUUCAAGCAAAGAAAUUUUUUUUACCUCUUUUGGUGGUCGAAAAUGGCUCCGGCGCAGCGGUGGCGAGGGUUGGCUUCCUUCCCAGCGACUAGGUGUUCUUCUCCUGCGGGGGGUCUGGCAGCUAGGGUUAGGGUUUGGUGUGAAAAUGGUUAUUUAUAUCCGUCCCCUUUUAAUUUGGACCAUCCAUCGCACUUGAUCUGAACCGUCCGAUCACGAUUAAAUAGGGAGUGAAUUUAAACCGCUCAUCGCGAUCUGAUCUAGACCGUCUAAUUACUUUUAAAUAGGAAGUGGAUCU
rnacentral:lncRNA from 1 species